rnacentral:rRNA from 1 species
CCUACGGGGUGCACCAGUAGGGAAUCUUCGGCAAUGGACGAAAGUCUGACCGAGCAACGCCGCGUGAGUGAAGAAGGUUUUCGGAUCGUAAAACUCUGUUGUUAGAGAAGAACAAGUAGGAGAGUAACUGCUCUACCUUGACGGUAUCUAACCAGAAAGCCACGGCUAACUACGUGCCAGCAGCCGCGGUAAUACGUAGGUGGCAAGCGUUGUCCGGAUUUAUUGGGCGUAAAGCGAGCGCAGGCGGUCUUUUAAGUCUGAUGUGAAAGCCCUCGGCUCAACCGAGGAAGGUCAUUGGAAACUGGAGGACUUGAGUGCAGAAGAGGAGAGUGGAAUUCCAUGUGUAGCGGUGAAAUGCGUAGAUUUAUGGAGGAACACCAGUGGCGAAGGCGACUCUCUGGUCUGUAACUGACGCUGAGGCUCGAAAGCGUGGGGAGCAAACAGGAUUAGAUACCCCUGUAGUC